rnacentral:rRNA from 1 species
GAUGAACGCUGGCGGCGUGCCUAAUACAUGCAAGUCGAGCGAACAGACGAGGAGCUUGCUCCUCUGACGUUAGCGGCGGACGGGUGAGUAACACGUGGAUAACCUACCUAUAAGACUGGGAUAACUUCGGGAAACCGGAGCUAAUACCGGAUAAUAUAUUGAACCGCAUGGUUCAAUAGUGAAAGACGGUUUUGCUGUCACUUAUAGAUGGAUCCGCGCCGCAUUAGCUAGUUGGUAAGGUAACGGCUUACCAAGGCAACGAUGCGUAGCCGACCUGAGAGGGUGAUCGGCCACACGGGAACUGAGACACGGUCCAGACUCCUACGGGAGGCAGCAGUAGGGAAUCUUCCGCGAUGGGCGAAAGCCUGACGGAGCAACGCCGCGUGAGUGAUGAAGGUCUUCGGAUCGUAAAACUCUGUUAUUAGGGAAGAACAAAUGUGUAAGUAACUGUGCACGUCUUGACGGUACCUAAUCAGAAAGCCACGGCUAACUACGUG